CGUUAAAUGGGGUAACGCCUCCGGCCUUAAUCUCACCUCCGAUGACGACUUCUUCACCAAUCCCACCCUCAGAGACUUCUACAAAGCUCAUGUCCGGGUGAUUAUUCCAUCCAUCCAUCUCUCCGAAACUCAUUGCUUAUCUAUCCCAAAAAAAAAUAAAAAUAAUAACUUGAAUGAAUGUGGUUGCACUGCAGACGGUGCUGAAUAGAGUGAACACCUUCACAAACAUCACUUACAAGAACGACCCCACAAUCUUCGCCUGGGAACUCAUGAAUGAGCCCCGUUGCCCCUCUGAUCCCUCCGGUGACAAACUCCAGUCUUGGAUACAAGAAAUGGCAGUGUUCGUGAAGAGCUUAGACGCUAAACAUUUGGUGGAGAUCGGAC
rnacentral:lncRNA from 1 species